UACGUAGGGCGCGAGCGUUGUCCGGAAUUAUUGGGCGUAAAGAGCUCGUAGGCGGUCUGUCGCGUCGGCUGUGAAAACCCGGGGCUCAACCCCGGGCCUGCAGUCGAUACGGGCAGACUAGAGUGCGGUAGGGGAGACUGGAAUUCCUGGUGUAGCGGUGAAAUGCGCAGAUAUCAGGAGGAACACCGGUGGCGAAGGCGGGUCUCUGGGCAGUAACUGACGUGAGGAGCGAAAAGCGUGGGGAGCGAACAGG
rnacentral:rRNA from 1 species